rnacentral:rRNA from 1 species
AUACCAGCUGGCUGCAACUGUUUAUUAAAAACACAGCACUGUGCAAACACGAAAGUGGACGUAUACGGUGUGACGCCUGCCCGGUGCCGGAAGGUUAAUUGAUGGGGUUAGCGGUAACGCGAAGCUCUUGAUCGAAGCCCCGGUAAACGGCGGCCGUAACUAUAACGGUCCUAAGGUAGCGAAAUUCCUUGUCGGGUAAGUUCCGACCUGCACGAAUGGCGUAAUGAUGGCCAGGCUGUCUCCACCCGAGACUCAGUGAAAUUGAACUCGCUGUGAAGAUGCAGUGUACCCGCGGCAAGACGGAAAGACCCCGUGAACCUUUACUAUAGCUUGACACUGAACACUGGUCCUUGAUGUGUAGGAUAGGUGGGAGGCUUUGAAGCGUGGACGCCAGUCUGCGUGGAGCCAACCUUGAAAUACCACCCUUUAAUGGCUGGUGUUCUAACGUAGACCCGUAAUCCGGGUUGCGGACAGUGUCUGGUGGGUAGUUUGACUGGGGCGGUCUCCUCCCAAAGAGUAACGGAGGAGCACGAAGGUUAGCUAAUCCUGGUCGGACAUCAGGAGGUUAGUGCAAUGGCAUAAGCUAGCUUGACUGCGAGAGUGACGGCUCGAGCAGGUGCGAAAGCAGGUCAUAGUGAUCCGGUGGUUCUGAAUGGAAGGGCCAUCGCUCAACGGAUAAAAGGUACUCCGGGGAUAACAGGCUGAUACCGCCCAAGAGUUCAUAUCGACGGCGGUGUUUGGCACCUCGAUGUCGGCUCAUCACAUCCUGGGGCUGAAGUAGGUCCCAAGGGUAUGGCUGUUCGCCAUUUAAAGUGGUACGCGAGCUGGGUUUAGAACGUCGUGAGACAGUUCGGUCCCUAUCUGCCGUGGGCGCUGGAGAAUUGAGGGGGGCUGCUCCUAGUACGAGAGGACCGGAGUGGACGCAUCACUGGUGUUCGGGUUGUCAUGCCAAUGGCACUGCCCGGUAGCUAAAUGCGGAAGAGAUAAGUGCUGAAAGCAUCUAAGCACGAAACUUGCCCCGAGAUGAGUUCUCCCUGAGACUUUAAGUCUCCUGAAGGAACGUUGAAGACUACGACGUUGAUAGGUCGGGUGUGUAAGCGCAGCGAUGCGUUGAGCUAACCGAUACUAAUGAACCGUGAGG